AGUGAACGCUGGCGGUAGGCCUAACACAUGCAAGUCGAACGACAGCACAGUAAGAGCUUUCUCUUACGGUUGGCGAGUGACGGACGGGUAAGGCAUACAUCGGAAUCUACUUUUUCGUGGGUGAUAACGUAGGGACACUUACGCUAAUACCGCAUACGAUCUACGGGUUAAAGCAGGAGAUCAUCGGACCUUUCGCGAUUGAAUUAGCCGAUGUCGCAUUAGCUAGUUGGUGGGGUAAAGGCCCACCAAGGCGACGAUCCGUAGCUGGUCUGAGGGGAUGAUCGGCCACACUGGAACUGAGACACGGUCCAGACUCCUACGGGAGGCAGCAGUGGGGAAUAUUCGACAAUGGGCGAAAGCCUGAUCGAGCAAUACCGCGUGGGUGAAGAAGGUCUUCGGGUUGUAAAGCUCUGUUAUUAGGAAAGAAAAGAAGUAGGUUAAUAUCCCGACGUUUUGACGGUACCCAAAGAAUAAGCACCGGCUAACUUCGUG
rnacentral:rRNA from 1 species